CCUACGGGGGGCAGCAGUGAGGAAUAUUGGUCAAUGGGCGGAAGCCUGAACCAGCCAUGCCGCGUGAAGGACGAAGGCGUUCUGCGUUGUAAACUUCUUUUAUAAGGGAAGAAACCUGGAUUUUCUAAUUCAGCCGACGGUACCUUAUGAAUAAGCACCGGCUAACUCCGUGCCAGCAGCCGCGGUAAUACGGAGGGUGCAAGCGUUAUCCGGAUUUACUGGGUUUAAAGGGUGUGUAGGCGGGUUUGUAAGUCAGGGGUGAAAUCCUACAGCUU
rnacentral:rRNA from 1 species